CAGAGUUUCGUCCCUCGCCGCAGUCAAGUCAGAGGGAAUCGGACAGGAGUCCAAACGCUAUUUGGGCAGUUAAGUUCUCAUCCCUCGCCGCAGUCACACCAGUAGGGAUUUGUCAAGGAGCCAGGAAACUUUUGAGACAGUCUCAACCCUCAUCAUAGCUUCGUCAGCUGGAUCUGGACAGGGAGCACGAGACGCAUCUGUGGCAGAUAUGUAGUUUCGUCCCUCGCCGCAGUCAAGUCAGAGGGAAUCGGACAGGAGUCAAAACGCAAUUUUGGCAGUUAAUCUCAGCCCUCGCCGCAGUCACACCAGUAGGGAUUUGUCAAGGAGCGAUCUCCUAAGCUCACAGAUUCCUAUUUUAGAUGUUUGCAGAAUUAUGAAAAAGGAUAAAAACAACAAGAAUGAACUUGUUUCCACAGGCAGGGUCAAAAUAAUUUUUUUAAUGGGCAGCAACUACCAAAGGAGAUUAAAUUCUUGUA